rnacentral:rRNA from 1 species
CCUUGACAUACUAAGAACUUUCCAGAGAUGGAUUUGGUGCCUUCGGGAACUUAGAUACAGGUGCUGCAUGGCUGUCGUCAGCUCGUGUCGUGAGAUGUUGGGUUAAGUCCCGNAACGAGCGCAACCCUUUUCCUUAUUUGCCAGCGGGUCAUGCCGGGAACUUUAAGGAUACUGCCAGUGACAAACUGGAGGAAGGCGGGGACGACGUCAAGUCAUCAUGGCCCUUACGGCCAGGGCUACACACGUGCUACAAUGGUCGGUACAAAGGGUUGCUACCUCGCGAGAGGAUGCUAAUCUCAAAAAGCCGAUCGUAGUCCGGAUCGCAGUCUGCAACUCGACUGCGUGAAGUCGGAAUCGCUAGUAAUCGCGGAUCAGAAUGCCGCGGUGAAUACGUUCCCGGGCCUUGUACACACCGCCCGUCACACCAUGGGAGUUUGUUGCACCAGAAGUAGGUAGUCUAACCGCAAGGAGGACGCUUACCACGGUGUGGCCGAUGACUGGGGUGAAGUCGUAACAAGGUAGGCGUAGAUGA